rnacentral:rRNA from 1 species
AACGAACGCUGGCGGCAGGCCUAACACAUGCAAGUCGAGCGCCCCGCAAGGGGAGCGGCGGACGGGUGAGUAACGCGUGGGAACGUACCUUUUGCUUCGGAAUAGCCUCGGGAAACUGGGAGUAAUACCGAAUGUGCCCUAUGGGGGAAAGAUUUAUCGGCAAAAGAUCGGCCCGCGGUGGUUUAGGUAGUUGGUGGGGUAAUGGUCUACCAAGCCGAAUAUCCAUAGCUGGUGUGAGAGGAGGAUCCGGCACACUGAGACGGAGACACGACCCAUACUCCUACGGGAGGCAGCAGUGGGGAAUAUUAGACAAGGGGUGCAACCCUGAUCCAUCAAUGCCGCGUGAAUGAUGAAGGCCUUCGGGUUGUAAAGUUCUUUUAUUGAUGACGAUAAUGACGGUAGUCUAUGAAUAAGCACCGGCUAACUUCGUGCCAGCCGCCGCCGUAA